UACGUAGGGUGCAGGCGUUAAUCGGAAUUACUGGGCGUAAAGCGUGCGCAGGCGGUUCGGAAAGAAAGAUGUGAAAUCCUAGAGCUUAACUUUGGAACUGCAUUUUUAACUCCCGAGCUAGAGUAUGUCAGAGGGGGGUAGAAUUCCACGUGUAGCAGUGAAAUGCGUAGAUAUGUGGAGGAAUACCGAUGGCGAAGGCAGCCCCCUGGGAUGAUACUGACGCUCAUGCACGAAAGCGUGGGGAGCAAACAGG
rnacentral:rRNA from 1 species